UUUUUAGUAUAAGUAUGACUCAUACAAUAUUUGGGAUAUACUUAUACUAAAA
rnacentral:pre_miRNA from 1 species